GAUGAACGCUGGCGGCGUGCCUAAUACAUGCAAGUCGAGCGAACAGACGAGGAGCUUGCUCCUCUGACGUUAGCGGCUGACGGGUGAGUAACACGUGGAUAACCUACCUAUAAGACUGGGAUAACUUCGGGAAACCGGAGCUAAUACCGGAUAAUAUAUUGAACCGCAUGGUUCAAUAGUGAAAGACGGUUUUGCUGUCACUUAUAGAUGGAUCCGCGCCGCAUUAGCUAGUUGGUAAGGUAACGGCUUACCAAGGCGACGAUGCGUAGCCGACCUGAGAGGGUGAUCGGCCACACUGGAACGGAGACACGGUACAGAGUCCUACGGGAGGCAGCAGUAGGGAAUGUUCCGCAAUGGGCGAAAGCCUGACGGAGCAACGCCGCGUGAGUGAUGAAGGUCUUCGGAUCGUAAAACUAUGUUAUUAGGGAAGAAAAAAUGUGUAAGUAACUAUGCACGUAUUGACGGUACCUAAUCAGAAAGCCACGGCUAACUACGUG
rnacentral:rRNA from 1 species